UCUGGCCUGCCGGCUCCCUGAGAUGGAGCAGCCCGGCUCAGAUCAGGAGAACUUUGACUCGGAGGCGUCUCUGAGCUCCGAGAGUCUCCUGGAGGAGCCGCAGCGCUCAGAGCCUGACGGUCUGGACCAGUGAUGGUGAUGGGGGCGGUGACGUCUACUUUGUAACGAGCAGGACGCGGCUCCCCCUCCCAUCAGAGGUCCCGUCCGAAGUGUCUCCCCAAACCCUCGGAGCUGUCUUUGCGCCGUAAAGUCUCUGGAGGACGCCUCUCUCUGCGGCAGCUCUCCCCUCCAAACUCCACUUCCUCCUCCUCCUCCUCCUCCUCCUCCCCCUCCUCCUGCAGGGACCCACUGCAGCGCCGCACCCCCAUCAUCCCCCACGGCUCCGUUAGACUCCCCCAUGGCGUCCUCCCGCAGGCCUCCAGUGCGUCUCACCCCCCGUCUGCAACUCAGGCGCUCCAGUUCCUGGUGCGCAGGCAGGAGCGUUCGGGUCGUCGUAAAGAAAGCACACAGUCGCUGUACUUCGAUGGGUCCGAGGGGGGCGACCUCAUGUUGACCUUCUCCUCCUGCCCCCCCUCCACCGCCUCCUCCUCCAUCUCCAUCUCCACCGCAAAACCAACUCUUCAAAAUCAAGACACACACGCUGCAAAGAGCCAGAGACGAUUUUCUGACCCCGACAUUCCUUACAUGGACGAUGACGUGUGAUUCCAGUCUGUUGGACGGCUCAGAGUCCUGUUGUGAACCCGAAGUGUUGAUCACCCCGAGGUUUUAUGAUAUAAAUGUAAAGUACGGGUCGCCAGGACAUAGAAACAGCUGGAGGAUAACUUGCAUAUGUUCGGCAAUUUGCACAAUUAGCAUAAGUUGCCAUAAUUCGCAUUAAUUGGAAUAUACAGACAAUAGUUUAAAAGAUGGUUUGGCUAAUUUUGACCAUUUCUGAGUGGAUUUGGAGGUUAUUGAGGAUGCUGAAUCAAUUUCUGACAUUUUCAGGGUCAAAAAUUGUAGUUUUAUUCAGAAAGUAGUCGUAUCUUGGGAUGAUUUUGAUGAGUUUUGGGCACAUUUUAAAGUUUUAGGAAACUCAAAACUGCCAUUUUGAUCCUUAAAAUGUCAGAAAUGAAUUCAACAACUUUAAAAUACCCCGAAAACCACACCAAAAUUGUCCAAAUCAGCCAAGCCAUUUUUUUAGCUAUUGUGCUACUUAAUGCAAUUUAUACUAAUUGUACAGAUUGCCCAACAUAUGCAAGUUAGCAUCUGGCUGUUUCUAUGUGCUGGGGACCCGUACUCUACGUUGUAACAAAGAACACUUGGGGUGCGCUACAUUUUCCGAGUUCACACUGAUGACAAGUAGACUCAUUUGGGAGAAAAUGAUGGAUUUACGGGCAAAAAC